rnacentral:rRNA from 1 species
AUUGAACGCUGGCGGCAGGCCUAACACAUGCAAGUCGAGCGAGCAGCGGACGGGGGAGUAAUGUCUGGGAAACUGCCUGAUGGAGGGGGAUAACUACUGGAAACGGUAGCUAAUACCGCAUACCAUCAGAUGUGCCAAGGUGGGAUUAGCUAGUAGGUGGGGUAACGGCUCACCUAGGCGACGAUCCCUAGCUGGUCUGAGAGGAUGACCAGCCACACUUGAACUGUGACACGGCCCCGACUCCGACGUGAGGCAGCAGUGGGGAAUAUUGCACAAUGGGCGCAAUUCUGAGGCAGCCAUGCCGCGUGUAUGAAGAAGGCCUUCGGUUUGUAAAGUACUUUCAGCGGGGAGGCGUUACCCGCAGAAGAAGCACCGGCUAACUCCGUGCCAGCAGCCGCGGUAAUUC